AUGGUUGAUGGUGGAGGCAACGAACUGACCAGAAUGGCGAAGGAAACGAUGCUUCACCACUCUAGCAAACCCUCCGAGAGAGAUCUGAUCCAGAUCCACUCAAUGUCAAACACUAGAUCUACCACCAAGCCGACACCUCCUUCUCAGAUCUGAGUAACCACGUCCGCGCCAUCACUCUAGGGAGAUUAUGGACACCCGCAGACUCCGGAAUAGAUCAUCGGAUACGGCUGCAAAUAGAUCGACAAAGAACAUAGUAGAUGAAGAAAGGAGGAAUCAGUGAAAUCGAAGCUAGAGAAGGGAAAAGGCUGGACACAAGGGAGAUCUGGGGUGGCGACCGACGGGUAGAGACCUCUGUUGGCCACCGGAC
rnacentral:lncRNA from 1 species